UUAGAUAAUAGAAAUGUAAAGUGGGAAAAAUUCUGUGUUACUGAAAAUGAUUUGGUUAUUUUUCUUAAAAAGGUUAUUAAAUGAAUGUGCAUCUGAUAUUUUUUUAUGUAUGUUACUUUAUUUUGUAAAAACAAAUGGACACAACAUAGAUUGACAACAUAAUGAGGAGAACCACCUCGGCAGCAAAGAUAACAGUUCCAGGGAAGAUGGUCAAUAUAAUCUUCAACCAAGUCUGAGGCUUUACCAUGAAAAU
rnacentral:lncRNA from 1 species